UUUUUUCUUUUCUUUUCUUUUUUCUUUUUUCUUUUUUUUUUUUUUCUUUCUUUGGUCUUGCUUGCAGCCUGUGGAAGUUUCUGGGCCAAGAAUGGAACCUGUGCCACAGCAGUGACCCAGACCACUGCAGUGAUGACACCAGAUCCUUAACCUACUGCACCCCAAGGGAGCUUCCUAGCAGUCACUGUUAAACAGAGGGAUACGUUUGCUCUUGAAGGGAACAGUGUGAAGAGAUGAUGUGCCUUACAGAUGUCCUGACAGCACGCAGGUGCGUCCAGGUGUGACUGUCCCCAAGAGUGGAACCGGGUGUCCUCGCCAGUCAAUGAGAAGGACGAGGCCCAGCAGCUUUGUAAUUUGGUCUUUGGUUUGUUACACCAGAACCCAGACAGGGUGACGCUUCCUCCGGGCAGUGUCCCCACGUGGCAUGGUACAUCCCAUUGCUGUGGCUGGGCCACUGAGCGACAGCAGCGCCGAGAUCCUCAGAGGUCGGAGGAAAUCUAGGCCCAUCCUGUGUCCCGAGGGAAGGGAGCUUACCUGGUGAGGAGGGGACGUGGAGAAUGGGUUGUGGCAGGAGGGGUCUGCGACCUUGCUUGUUUGGGCCGCACUGAGAGGAAGCCAGGUGUACAGGGAUGGCUCUAGGGAACAGAACAGGUGGCAGAAUGGGCAUCACGAGGAGGCCUGGGUGAGCCGGAAAUAAAGGGUUCUGCGAGGUUCCCCCAUGGCGAAGCGGGUUAGGGAUCCGUCGUUGCUGCUGCUGCUGUGGCACGGGCUGCAGUUGUGUCACGGGUUCACUUCCCGGCCCAGGAACUUCCAUAUGUCACAGGUGCGGCAAAAAAAAAAGAAAAAAGGACUCUUCCAGGAAGUGAUCCUCUCCCCUCCCCACAGGUCACUGCAGUGGGGCCCGCGGGGCCGGGAGAGGCUGGCGCAAGCGUCUUAGGAGUCACUCCGAACAGGCAGCAGAGUCCCAUGUGAAAGGGAAUUGGGGGCAGUUCCCAUUGUGGCACAGUGGGAACAAAUCCAACCGGGAUCCGUGAGGAUACAGGUUCAGUCCUUGGCCUCGAUCCGUGAGUUGGGGAUCCGGCAUUGCCGUGAGCUGUGGUAUAGGUCGAAGAUGUGCCUCGGAUCCCAAAUUGCUCUGGUUUUCAUGUAUGCCGGCAGCUGUAGCUCCCAUUCGACUCCCAGCCUAUUUUGGGUGUGUGUGGCCCAAAACAGCAAAAGGAAAAAAGAAGCUGAAUUGUGGAGUUUCCAUUGUGGCUGAGCAGGUUAGGAACCCACCAUGGGAGUUCCCAUUGCGGGGCAUGGAAGCAAAUCCAACUAGGAACCAAGAUGUGGUGGGUUUAACCGCUGGCCUCGCUCAGUGGAUUAAAGAUCCAGCAUUGCUGUGAGCUGGCGUGUAGGUUGCAGACAGCUUGGAUCCCCAGUGCCAUGGCUGUGGUGUAGGCUGGCAGCUGGAGCUCUGAUUUGACCCCUAGCCUGGGAACCUCCAUGUACUGCAGAUGUGACCCGAAAAAAA
rnacentral:lncRNA from 1 species